rnacentral:lncRNA from 1 species
CACACCAAAACACACACACACAGAGUAAGGAGAAGCAGAGACCGGCAGAAGGGAAAGAAGAAAGGAAAAAGAAGAAGAAAAGAGGUGAGGUUAAUCUCUUCAAGUUGGGUUUAAUUUUUCCACUUGUUUUCGAGUGAUUAAGUAUGAUUUAUAUUAAAUUUUUAGGGUUUUAACUUUUAGAAUAAAAUGUCGAAUUUUAGGUGAUAUUUGUACGAAUUGGAGCUCAAGUUUGGGGAUUUCUUCAUUUUCAAUUUCAGCUAGGUAAGGGAUAUUAUUUUAGCAAACCCUAGAAAUUUUAUUUGGGAUUUUUGGGAUUAAGUAUGUUUAUGGAAAUGAUGAUGUUGAGAAAAUAAUUAAUUGAAAGCAUGAAAUUAUGGAACAAAAGGAAAAUUUUAAUUAGUUGAAUUAUAGCAAUUUCUUGUCACUUGAAUGAUGUGGAUGUCAUAGUGAUGUUUGGAAGUGAAGGUUAUGUUGAUAAAUUAGUUAUUAGUCAAUGGAUUAUAAAGUGUGAUUAGCUCCAAUUAAUAAAGGAAAAUUUGGGAACUUAUUCAAGUGUCCAGAAAAAUUAAUUUUAAGUUCUAUCAUUAGAUAUUAAGGUUUCUUGAUUAGAUAGAGGAUAAAUUGGUUAUUAAUAUCGUAUUUCAGGUGGUGGCGAGAAAAUUGGAAACAUUUAUUAGCCAAUCUAGCUUGUAGCUCAUACCUUGUGAGUAGAUAAAACUUAUUUUUCAGAAAUAAGUCUUCUUUAAAUUUUAAAGUUAUUUAUUUUAUAAAGUUGACUUCAUAGCAUGAUUUUUAGAAUAAAAUGGAUUUUAUUAUCAAUUGCUUUUAAAGUUAAAUUCAGUUCAGUUAAAUUAUUUUAGUAGCAUGUUAUAUUCUUAUUACAUGUUUCAGUAUAGUUAAAGUUAUUUCUAAAAACCACCAGAAAGUACCCAGGUGAUUUUACCCCAGUUUGCACUGAUGUGAAUGUGUUUCCACAGUGUAUGACUAGUUAUAGUGAUUUUACCCGCUCUGCACUAUCGUGAAUGUGUUUCCAUAGUGUAUGACCAGAUUAUCAGAGGUCUUUGGAACCCACUCUCGUACACACAUAGGCUUUGGGCCGUGUACUAGGGUGAUUAGCCUUUGGGGCAGCUCUACGUACGUAUGACCAUAUUAUCAGAUUUGAAUGGCUUUGCCUUGUACAUCGAGAUUACUCUGUACAUGAGUAAGGCUAUUCAUUGGGUACUCUUUUUGGUGUGAUUUUUCAGUAUUUAUCCAGUUCUCAGAUUUCAGAUUAUGGAAGUCAGUUAAUUCAGUUUUCAGAAUAAAGCUUUCAGCUUAUACUUUUGAGCAGUAGCAAUAUUUCAUAGAUUUUCACGAAUAUCAAAUUCUUUAUAUUUGCUAUAUCUCACAGAUACUUAUCUAGAAUUUAGAACAAAGAAUUUUAUAAUGUAAUUAUAUUUAGUUUUUAAAAGUAUUACUAGAUUCAGAAAUCCUCAAGGAUUUAAUAAAGUUAAAAUUUUUAGAAAAUAUGCAUAAAUGGAAAAAGUUUACUUAUUUACAAAUCAUCCACUCACUGAGUUACAAACUCAUAUUUUUGUCAUGUUUUUCCUAUCAGGAGACCGUCGAUUUUGAGAUACUGGGAAAAGCAUGUUGAAGCGAAAGAGACCAUUUCAUAGUAUGUAAUGUAUAGUUGGGGAACUCAUGUUUAUUAAGUACUUGUCUAAUAUUUGGUGUGUCAUGCACUUCGUAGAAAGGUUGGUAAUUAAUGUAAUGCUUGCAUGUUGACAAGAUGAUGUUGUAGAAGCACUCAAUCGAAUUUUGUUAUAUUUUGUAGUAGUUGUGGUGGUAUUAGAGGAAGUGGUGG